rnacentral:piRNA from 1 species
UNGGGUGCUUCUGAUUUGCAAACCACUGGU